UACGGAGGAUGCGAGCGUUAUCCGGAUUUAUUGGGUUUAAAGGGUGCGCAGGCGGCACGGCAAGCCGGCGGUCAAAUCGCGGGGCUCAACCCCGCCCAGCCGUCGGAACUGCCGGGCUAGAGUGGGCGAGAAGUGCGCGGAAUGCGUGGUGUAGCGGUGAUAUGCAUAGAUAUCACGCAGAACUCCGAUUGCGAAGGCAGCGCACCGGCGCCCUACUGACGCUCAGGCACGAAAGCGUGGGUAUCGAACAGG
rnacentral:rRNA from 1 species